UAAAGCUACUAAGGGUGUACGGGGGAUGCCUAGGCACAUGGAGACGAUGAAGGACGUGAUAAGCUGCGAUAAUCCUCGGGUAGGUGCAAAUAACCUUAGAUCCGGGGGUUUCCGAAUGGGGUAACCCACCUAGAUUAAUCUCUAGGUACUUCCACCUGAAUAUAUAGGGUGGAAAGAGUCAACGGAGUGAACUGACACAUCUAAGUAACUCUAGGAAAAGAAAAUAAAAAUGAUUCCCUUAGUAGUGGCGAGCGAACAGGGAAGAGCCUAAACCAUCAACGUGUCAAGCUUGCAGGCUUUGCGCUGGUGGUGUUGUGGGGCAAAUCAUGAACUAGCUGCAAAUGGUUCGGUGAGUCAAAAAUUUGAAGGUUAGGUGAACGGUCUGGAAAGUCCGAUCAUAGAAGGUGAUAAUCCUGUAACUAAAAACCUGAUAACUCGCUUGAUUUGUUCCCGAGUAGCGCGGGACACGAGAAAUCUUGUGUGAAUCUGCCGGGACCAUCCGGUAAGGCUAAAUACUCCCAUGUGACCGAUAGUGAACUAGUACCGUGAGGGAAAGGUGAAAAGUACUCCUAACGGAGAGUGAAAUAGAACCUGAAACCGUAUACCUACAAGCGGUCGGAGCUCCACUUUGGUGGGGUGACGGCGUGCCUUUUGCAUAAUGAGCCAGCGAGUUGCUCGUACGUCGCAAGGUUAAGAAUAGACAUUCGGAGCCGAAGCGAAAGCAAGUCUGAACAGGGCGUUCAGUGGCGUGCGGCAGACCCGAAACUGAGUGAUCUAGCCAUGACCAGGAUGAAGUCCCGGUAACACGGGAUGGAGGUCCGAACCCACUUCGGUUGAAAACGGAGGGGAUGAGUUGUGGUUAGGGGUGAAAGGCCAAUCAAACUCAGAGAUAUCUGGUUCUCGCCGAAAUGCGUUUAGGCGCAGCGUUGUAUUAGUGUAUCGGGGGUAGAGCACUGAAUGGGCUAGGGGGCCUACAAGCUUACCAACCCCAAUCAAACUCCGAAUACCGAAUACAUGAUGUACAGCAGUGAGGCUGCGGGCGAUAAGGUUCGUAGCCGAGAGGGAAACAACCCAGAUCAACAGCUAAGGUCCCAAAGUCAAUGCUAAGUGAAAAAGGAUGUCAAAUCGCCCAGACAGCUAGGAGGUUGGCUUAGAAGCAGCCAUCCUUUAAAGAAAGCGUAACAGCUCACUAGUCGAGGGGUUUUGCGCCGAUAAUAUCCGGGACUAUAAGCAUUGCACCGAAGCUUUGAACUCAAUUUAUUGAGUGGUAGGCGAGCGUUCUAUUUACCGUCGAAGGUUGACCCGUGAGGGCAGCUGGAGGAGAUGGAAAUGAGUAUGCUGGCAUGAGUAGCGAUAAACAUAGUGAAAUUCUAUGUCACCGUAAGCCCAAGGUUUCCUGAGUAAAGUAACUCUGCUCAGGGUUAGUCGGACCCUAAGCCGAGGCCGAAAGGCGUAGGCGAUGGAAAACGGGUAAAAUAUUCCCGUACCGGCGAUUAAUUGUUUGAGCUAAGGGGGGACGCAGGAGUGAAAGGUCAUCACGGUAUUGAAUGUCCGUGUCUAAGUAUGUAGGGCGAUCUGGUAGGCAAAUCCGCCAGAUCUUAUAACCUGAGAUACGAAUGGGAAGCGCGCCUUCGGGCAAGCCAACUGACCCUAAUCCUACUGCCAAGAAAAUCCUCUAUGUUAGAUUAAUAGCCGACCGUACCGUAAACGGACACACGUGGGCGAGGAGAGUAUCCUAAGGUGCUUGGGAGAAUCAUGGUUAAGGAACUCGGCAAAAUGGCCCCGUAACUUCGGGAGAAGGGGUGCCCUUAUUAGGUAGAGAUCUUCGCGAUCCGAGCCGAAAAGGGCCGCAGUGAAGAGGCCCAAUCGACUGUUUAACAAAAACACAGGUCUAUGCUAAGUCGUAAGACGAAAUAUAUGGACUGACACCUGCCCGGUGCCGGAAGGUUAAAUGGAGAGGUUAGCUUUCGAGCGAAGCUUUGAAAUGAAGCCCCGGUAAACGGCGGCCGUAACUAUAACGGUCCUAAGGUAGCGAAAUUCCUUGUCGGGUAAGUUCCGACCUGCACGAAUGGUGUAACGAAUUGGGCACUGUCUCAACCAUGACCCCAGCGAAAUUGAAGUGUCGGUGAAGAUGCCGGCUACCCGCAGCAGGACGAAAGAC
rnacentral:rRNA from 1 species